rnacentral:rRNA from 1 species
AGACGAACGCUGGCGGCGUGCUUAACACAUGCAAGUCGAACGGUGAACCACUUCGGUGGGGAUCAGUGGCGAACGGGUGAGUAACACGUGGGCAACCUGCCCCUGGCUCUGGGAUAACUCCAAGAAAUUGGGGCUAAUACCGGAUAUGACCGCUGRUCGCAUGGUCUGGUGGUGGAAAGAUUUAUCGGCUGGGGAUGGGCCCGCGGCCUAUCAGCUUGUUGGUGGGGUAGUGGCCUACCAAGGCGACGACGGGUAGCCGGCCUGAGAGGGUGACCGGCCACACUGGGACUGAGACACGGCCCAGACUCCUACGGGAGGCAGCAGUGGGGAAUAUUGCGCAAUGGGCGGAAGCCUGACGCAGCGACGCCGCGUGGGGGAUGACGGCCUUCGGGUUGUAAACCUCUUUCAGCAGGGACGAAGCGAGAGUGACGGUACCUGCAGAAGAAGCACCGGCCAACUACGUGCCAGCAGCCGCGGUAAUACGUAGGGUGCAAGCGUUGUCCGGAAUUAUUGGGCGUAAAGAGCUCGUAGGCGGUUCGUCGCGUCGGCUGUGAAAACCUGAGGCUCAACCUCAGGCCUGCAGUCGAUACGGGCGGACUUGAGUUCGGCAGGGGAGACUGGAAUUCCUGGUGUAGCGGUGAAAUGCGCAGAUAUCAGGAGGAACACCGGUGGCGAAGGCGGGUCUCUGGGCCGAAACUGACGCUGAGGAGCGAAAGCGUGGGGAGCGAACAGGAUUAGAUCC